GUCAGCCUCACACAGGUAACAGCACAGACAUGAGGUCAGUCACUCAUCUCCUGGGGUUGCUGCUGCUCUACCUUACAGGUGCCAGAUGUGACAUUCAGAUGACCCAGUCUCCAGGCUCCCUGUCUGUGUCUCUGGGAGACACUGUCACUAUGACAUGUCAGGCCAGUCAAAACAUUAAUGGUUGGUUGGCAUGGUAUCAGCAGAAACCAGGGAAAUCUCCCAAGCUCCUGAUCUAUAGUACAAGCAGCUUGGCAAAUGGGGUCCCAUCAAGGUUCAGUGGCAGUGGAUCUGGCACACAGUAUUCUCUUAAGAUCAGCAGCCUGCAGCCUGAAGAUGUUGCAGUUUAUUACUGUCAACAGCAUAGCAGUACUCCUCCCACAGUGAUACAAGUCAUGACAAAAACUACUGUUGUAAGCAGAACCUCUGGGUCCUGGCUUUCUGGUAGUGUCAGGGAUGGGUUUCCCCUCAGGGCAUUGGUCUCAGGCUUGCCCAAUCAUUCAUUGGCCAUUCCAAUAGUAUCUGUGCCACCAUUACUCUAG